ensembl:misc_RNA
CAGAGAGCGCUGCACACUGACGUCCUCUGCAGAGCGGGGACAGCAGCCACUUUCCCACGGUGCACUGCGACAGUGCUUCAUCUCGGCCCUGGGAGGCCCACUUCUCAGGAUGAGAGGAUAAUUCACUCGCUAUAGCCCAUUCAAUCUUCAGCCUCU